rnacentral:rRNA from 1 species
CCUACGGGAGGCAGCAGUGGGGAAUAUUGCACAAUGGGGGAAACCCUGAUGCAGCAACGCCGCGUGGGUGAAGGAGCGUCUCGGCGCGUAAAGCCCUGUCAGCGGGGAAGAAGAAAGACGGUACCCGACCAAGAAGCACCGGCUAACUACGUGCCAGCAGCCGCGGUAAUACGGAGGGGGCGAGCGUUAUCCGGAUUUACUGGGUGUAAAGGGAGCGUAGGCGGUGAGGUAAGCCUGAGGUGGAAGCCCGCGGCCCAACCGCGGAACUGCCUUGGAAACUGGUUGGCUGGAGUGUGGGAGGGGUAAGCGGAAUUCCUGGUGUAGCGGUGAAAUGCGUAGAUAUCAGGAGGAACACCGGUGGCGAAGGCGGCUUACUGGGCCAUAACUGACGUUGAGGCUCGAAAGCGUGGGGAGCGAACAGGAUUAGAUACCCUUGUAGUC